AAUGAACGUUGGCGGCGUGGAUUAGGCAUGCAAGUCGAACGAGAUCUGUAGCAAUACAGUGAAAGUGGCGAAAGGGAGAGUAAUACGUAGGUACCUGCCCUCGGGUCUGGGAUAGCUGCGGGAAACUGCAAUUAAUACCGGAUGAUGUCUCUGGACCAAAGGUGUGAUUCCGCCAGGGGAUGGGCCUGCGUCCUAUCAGCUAGUUGGUGUGGUAAAGGCGCACCAAGGCUAAGACGGGUACGGGGUGUGAGAGCAUGCCCCCGCUCACUGGGACUGAGAUACUGCCCAGACACCUACGGGUGGCUGCAGUCGAGAAUCUUCCGCAAUGGGCGCAAGCCUGACGGAGCGACGCCGCGUGUGGGAUGAAGGCCUUCGGGUUGUAAACCACUGUCAGUGGGGAGCAAGUGCAUUAGGGUUCUCCCUAGUGUUUGAGCGAUCCGCAGAGGAAGCACAGGCUAAUUCCGUG
rnacentral:rRNA from 1 species